AUAACUUGGAAUGGGAAUGUGGAGCUGCGUUUUCGGCCGGCAGCGGGUGGUUUGGAGGUCAAAUAUCCCGGGAAAAAUCGGCUUUGCCCGGAAACUUUGGGCAUUUUGGGCUAUCCCUGGGCGUUUUGGCCUCUCCCACUCCUUGUUUUUCCCUCCCUGGAAGCGAGGGGGUUAACGGGAUGCUCCGGGCGGAGGCGAUCAAUCCCGGUUUAGCGGGAUUUGGGAAGCGCUGCCCGGGAAGAAGAGCAGCAGCAGCAGGAGGAGGAGGAGGAGGAGAAGGAGGGGGAGAUGCUGCCCAAAAUCCCGGCAUCCCUCGCUCCAGCCGCUGGAGCGCCGGGCCGAGCUCCAGCCGGGCUCCGGCGCCGGGGUUUGGGAAUCGCGGGGUCCGACGGGACCCGCGGGGCAGCCCCGCCCCGGGCCAUCCACAUCCAGACAGAGCGACACUCAGGAGAGCUUCCCUCGCCGGCCAGGGGGGUUUCCCGGGAAUUCCCUCCCUGCGCGGAUGUGGAUACAAAGGCGGAGGAGCCGCGGCCUUCCCAGGCCCAGCUCUGUUUAUUUAGGCCUGCCUUGAUUUAUUUUCCCUCCCCGCUCCGGGUGGGAAGGAGCCGGAGCUGCCGCCCCCAGGAUGCUCCUUCCCACGGAGAGGCCCCAGCAACUCCUUGAAAUCCGGACUCCCAAGGAUGAUGUUGCAUCCCAUGUCCUUCUGGGAUCCUCUCACAUCCCCAGGCCCUCCUUGGAUUGUCCCACUUCCCAUUUUUCCGCUCCCGGUUUAUUCUGAGGGAUCUCCCUGGCAGGCAGGCUCAUCCCCACUCGCUUUCCCCUCAUCCCCUGGGAUGCAUUUUGCUCCCGGGAUGUUCCUUUUUCAUGGAAAACGAUGCAAAAUGACCUUUCAAACCCAAUCCAAGGGUUGUUUUGGAGUCCUGGGAGCUGGAAAAAGAACCAACCAACCUUGGGAUAAAUUGGGCUUUGGGAUGGGAGCUUAUGUCAACUGGCAAAAUGGGAAGUGACCUUUUCCCGCCCGGCCGGAUAAAUUUGGGAUGGAGCCGCAGCACAGCCGCCUCCCACUGCCC
rnacentral:lncRNA from 1 species